rnacentral:lncRNA from 1 species
CAGGGGACUGGGGUUGAUCACAGGGGACUGGGGUUGAUCACAGGGGACUGGGGUUGGUCACAGGGGACUGGGGUUGGUCACAGGAGACUGGGAUUGGUUACAGGGGACUGGGGUUGGGAUUUUUUUUUUUUUUUUUUUUUUUUUUUGUAAUUGCAGUCACCACAGGAAGAUUUUUGAGUGAAAGGGUAACCUUAGAAGUAACAUCUUCCCCAGUCAAACCUGUGGAUGAGAAUACAGCCCUUGAUACCUGGUUCAUUCAUGAUUCUUAUCGGGGAACUAGCUAAGCAAUGCCUGUAUUUCAGACUCAAAGGCAUGCUGAAACGGGUGGUGUUGAAACCUGCACAAUUGGAGAUUAUUUGCUAGGCAGUACAAAACCAAUACAGGUCAAGUGUUUCUGAUAGGAAUCUAAAGUAUAGGGAACAACUGAGACCAAGGCAGGCUCAGCCACACUUGGCUUCCCAUUCCUGGAGUGUCCCUGGGGAAAAGGAGUUUGAUGACUAGGUGACCCCAUUAAUCUUUGUCCAUCUUUUCUUCCUCAUCCCUAACAAAAGUCCCAAACACUGCGUUAACCUCUUCCUUACUGAAUUACAGUGGCUUUGGUUGAACUUAUUUACAGAAUUGAUUCAAGUCAGGAAAGGCUAUAUCUAUAAGCUCAGCAUCCCUCUGCUGCAGUCGAA